rnacentral:rRNA from 1 species
GACGAACGCUGGCGGCGUGCCUAAUACAUGCAAGUUGAGCGCUGAAGGUUGGUACUUGUACCAACUGGAUGAGCAGCGAACGGGUGAGUAACGCGUGGGGAAUCUGCCUUUGAGCGGGGGACAACAUUUGGAAACGAAUGCUAAUACCGCAUAAAAACUUUAAACACAAGUUUUAAGUUUGAAAGAUGCAAUUGCAUCACUCAAAGAUGAUCCCGCGUUGUAUUAGCUAGUUGGUGAGGUAAAGGCUCACCAAGGCGAUGAUACAUAGCCGACCUGAGAGGGUGAUCGGCCACAUUGGGACUGAGACACGGCCCAAACUCCUACGGGAGGCAGCAGUAGGGAAUCUUCGGCAAUGGACGAAAGUCUGACCGAGCGACGCCGCGUGAGUGAAGAAGGUUUUCGGAUCGUAAAACUCUGUUGGUAGAGAAGAACGUUGGUGAGAGUGGAAAGCUCAUCAAGUGACGGUAACUACCCAGAAAGGGACGGCUAACUACGUG